rnacentral:rRNA from 1 species
ACGCACGCUGGCGGCAGGCCUAACCCAUGCCAGUCGAGCGCCCCGCAAGGGGAGCGGCGGACGGGUGAGUAACGCGUGGGAAUAUGCCCUUUGCUACGGAAUAGUCUCGGGAAACUGGGGGUAAUACCGUAUACGCCCUUUGGGGGAAAGAUUUAUCGGCGAAGGAUUAGCCCGCGUUGGAUUAGGUAGUUGGUGGGGUAAUGGCCUACCAAGCCGACGAUCCAUAGCUGGUUUGAGAGGAUGAUCAGCCACACUGGGACUGAGACACGGCCCAGACUCCUACGGGAGGCAGCAGUGGGGAAUCUUAGACAAUGGGGGCAACCCUGAUCUAGCCAUGCCGCGUGAGUGAUGAAGGCCUUAGGGUUGUAAAGCUCUUUCAGCUGGGAAGAUAAUGACGGUACCAGCAGAAGAAGCCCCGGCUAACUCCGUG